rnacentral:rRNA from 1 species
CAUUUGACGUUAGCUGCAGAAGAAGACACCGGCUAACUCCGUGCCAGCAGCCGCGGUAAUACGGAGGGUGCGAGCGUUAAUCGGAAUUACUGGGCGUAAAGCGCAUGCAGGUGGUUUGUUAAGUCAGAUGUGAAAGCCCGGGGCUCAACCUCGGAAUUGCAUUUGAAACUGGCAAACUAGAGUACUGUAGAGGGGGUAGAAUUUCAGGUGUAGCGGUGAAAUGCGUAGAGAUCUGAAGGAAUACCGGUGGCGAAGGCGGCCCCCUGGACAGAUACUGACACUCAGAUGCGAAAGCCGUGGGGAGCAAACAGGAUUACGAUACCCUGGUAG